GCAGAUAUGAUCAUUGCAUUUGUUAUAUUGAUUACAUACGCAAAUGUGAUCAUUGCAUUUGUUAUAUUGAUUACAUGACUAAGGUCUUAAAUUGUGAUCAUUGGUGUUGCAAAUGUGAUCAUUGCGAUUGUUUGUUGUUGCUGAAUUUUAAUUGGGAGGUGCUUGAAGUAUGCUUUGCUAGUCUAGCAAAUGCGAACAUUGCAAUGAAUUUUAGUUGUUUGAAAUAUACUGUUAAAAAGCACAUAAGUAAGUUGAAUUUUGAGAUUCAGACAUUAAUUUUAGUUGAGAGGUGUUUGAAAUAUAUUGUUUAA